rnacentral:lncRNA from 1 species
GAUGUGCUAAUAACACAGACCCUCAUUGUGUAGCACUAAAAAAUACAAAAAUUCUUCAAGCACUAAACCUAGAGGUGAAACAAAUGCUGCAUUCUCCUAUAUACCAAAGAAGGAGGCUGUUCCAUCGGAGGCUUACUGCUUUGCAGCAUUUUUGGUCUGCUGUCUGAAGGACAUACUCCUGUCCUACUGUGGCUUAAACUUGGGUCCUAAGUUGUUGCUGACCAAUGUUCUUCGUAUCUGCCUGUGCUGAACAAAGAUGGCAUCAAUCCCCAGCCCCAUCCACCAUGGUUUAUGAUUUCUCCAUGCUAGAGGCUGAUGCAAUUCCCAUGGAAGUCUAUGGAAGGUUAUCAAGACUUACAGGAAUAAUUUAACACAGCUAAACAUCUUAUUUGUCUUCAAAGAUAUGUAAGUAAUCAAUCACGUUUGAGUUUUGUUAUAUGUUUUAUACUAGUAAGUGUAUAUUAAUAAGAAUUACAUAAAUAUAGAUGAGGAUUUUUUUGUUUUUAA